CAGCCGCCGCGGGAAUACCGAGGGUGCGAGCGUUAAUCGGAUUUACUGGGCGUAAAGCGUGCGUAGGCGGCUAAUUGAGUCGGAUGUGAAAUCCCCGAGCUUAACUUGGGAAUUGCAUUCGAUACUGGUUAGCUAGAGUGUGGGAGAGGAUGGUAGAAUUCCAGGUGUAGCGGUGAAAUGCGUAGAGAUCUGGAGGAAUACCGAUGGCGAAGGCAGCCAUCUGGCCUAACACUGACGCUGAGGUACGAAAGCAUGGGGAGCAAACAGGAUUAGAUACCCCCGUAGUCCCUGUCUCUUAUAC
rnacentral:rRNA from 1 species